rnacentral:rRNA from 1 species
AUUGAACGCUGGCGGCAUGCUUUACACAUGCAAGUCGAACGGUAACAGGCCGCAAGGUGCUGACGAGUGGCGAACGGGUGAGUAAUGCAUCGGAACGUGCCCAGUCGUGGGGGAUAACUACUCGAAAGAGUAGCUAAUACCGCAUACGAUCUAUGGAUGAAAGCGGGGGACCGUAAGGCCUCGCGCGAUUGGAGCGGCCGAUGUCAGAUUAGGUAGUUGGUGGGGUAAAGGCUCACCAAGCCAACGAUCUGUAGCUGGUCUGAGAGGACGACCAGCCACACUGGGACUGAGACACGGCCCAGACUCCUACGGGAGGCAGCAGUGGGGAAUUUUGGACAAUGGGCGCAAGCCUGAUCCAGCAAUGCCACGUGCAGGAAGAAGGCCUUCAGGUUGUAAACUGCUUUUGUACGGAACGAAACGGCUCUGGUUAAUACCCGGGGCUAAUGACGGUACCGUAAGAAUAAGCACCGGCUAACUACGUG